AAAAUUUCCAAUUCUAACAGCAUAAGAGAGGUAGUGACAAGAAAUAACAAUACAAGGCAGUUAAAAUGCUUUGUAAUUGGAAUGAUAGAAAUUUAAACACUUUUUAAAGUAUCAAUUGGAGGGCAAGUCUGGUGCCAGCAGCCGCGGUAAUUCCAGCUCCAAUAGCGUAUAUUAAAAUUGUUGCAGUUAAAAAGCUCGUAGUUGAAUUUCUGCUAAAAAUAACCGGUCUGCUUUUAAUAAAGGUGGUAUCUUGGUGUGUUUUUAGCAAUAAUGUCCUUUGAAAUGUUUUUUACUUCAUUGUAAUAAAUUAUAUUUAGGAUUUUUACUUUGAGAAAAUUAGAGUGUUUCUAGCAGGCUAAUGCUUUGAAUACUGCAGCAUGGAAUAAUAAAAUAGGAUUUUGGUUCUACAUUAUUGGUUUUAAGAGCUAAAUUAAUGAUUGAUAGGGACAGUUGGGGGCAUUUGUAUUUAACUGUCAGAGGUGAAAUUCUUAGAUUUGUUAAAGACAAACUACUGCGAAAGCAUUUGCCAAAGAUGUUUUCAUUAAUCAAGAACGAAAGUUAGGGGAUCGAAGACGAUCAGAUACCGUCGUAGUCUUAACUAUAAACUAUGCCGACUAGAGAUUGAAGGUCGUCUUUAUAAACGACUCU
rnacentral:rRNA from 1 species